GACGAACGCUGGCGGCGCGCCUAACACAUGCAAGUCGAACGAGCGAGAGAGAGCUUGCUUUCUUGAGCGAGUGGCGAACGGGUGAGUAACGCGUGAGGAACCUGCCUCAAAGAGGGGGACAACAGUUGGAAACGACUGCUAAUACCGCAUAAGCCCACGACCCGGCAUCGGGUUGAGGGAAAAGGAGCAAUCCGCUUUGAGAUGGCCUCGCGUCCGAUUAGCUGGUUGGUGAGGUAACGGCCCACCAAGGCGACGAUCGGUAGCCGGACUGAGAGGUUGAACGGCCACAUUGGGACUGAGACACGGCCCAGACUCCUACGGGAGGCAGCAGUGGGGAAUAUUGCACAAUGGAGGAAACCCUGAUGCAGCGACGCCGCGUGGAGGAAGAAGGUCUUCGGAUUGUAAACUCCUGUUGUUGAGGAAGAUAAUGACGGUACUCAACAAGGAAGUGACGGCUAACUACGUGCCAGCAGCCGCGGUAAAACGUAGGUCACAAGCGUUGUCCGGAAUUACUGGGUGUAAAGGGAGCGCAGGCGGGAAGACAAGUUGGAAGUGAAAUCUAUGGGCUCAACCCAUAAACUGCUUUCAAAACUGUUUUUCUUGAGUAGUGCAGAGGUAGGCGGAAUUCCCGGUGUAGCGGUGGAAUGCGUAGAUAUCGGGAGGAACACCAGUGGCGAAGGCGGCCUACUGGGCACCAACUGACGCUGAGGCUCGAAAGUGUGGGUAGCAAACAGG
rnacentral:rRNA from 1 species